rnacentral:rRNA from 1 species
AACGACUCUCGGCAACGGAUAUCUCGGCUCUCGCAUCGAUGAAGAACGCAGCGAAAUGCGAUACUUGGUGUGAAUUGCAGAAUCCCGUGAACCAUCGAGUCUUUGAACGCAAGUUGCGCCCUAAGCCAUUAGGCCGAGGGCACGUCUGCCUGGGUGUCACGC